rnacentral:rRNA from 1 species
UAGCUUAUUGUAAUUUUAUAGUAGGUGUUUUCUGCCCGGUGAUUUUUAAACGGCCGCGGUACUCUGACCGUGCAAAGGUAGCAUAAUCAUUUGCUUCUUUAUUGGGGGCUGGAAUGAAUGGAAGAACGAGAUUUUAGCUGUCUCUUUUCCUGUUUUGGAAUUUGCUGUUUUUGUGAAGAAGCAAAGAUUUUUAAAAAAGACAAGAAGACCCUGUUAAGCUUUAUCUGUUAGGACUUGUAGUUUUUCGGCCUGUGUGGUACGCGAUUAUAGUUUGAUGGAUUUGGUUGGGGUGACCAAAGAAGAGAUAAAUCUUCUUUUAGACAGAAAACGGUGGGUUGAAUGAUGGGCCAGAGUUGUUCUGAGGAAAGGAAUUAGUUACUACAGGGAUAACAGCGUAAUUUUUUCGGAGAGUUCUUAUUGAAGAGAGAGAUUGCGACCUCGAUGUUGACUUGUCAUAUCCUUUUAAGGUGCAGUUGCCGAGAGGGUUGGUCUGUUCGACCAUUAAAAUGGC